AGAGAGACCCAUCAAAUUUUUUAGGUCUAGAUUUGGGUCUCUUAAAAUGUACAUAAUGUUAUAUGCGUCAAGAUAUGGGUUAAAUUUUAAUGGAUCCUACACCAACCCAUACCGUAGGUGUCUAUGGGUUAAAUGGGGAUCAAAAAAUAAAAAAAAAUUACUUGAAUGCAUAAUUUAUUACAAAAAUGGUGCCACUUCAUCCUAUCUUACAAGAUCUAAAUGUUCAAUUAGAUUAGCGGUGUGCAUUUUGCAUGAUAAUAAUGGAGCAACGUACUAAUAUCUCAUACAAUAUAGGCCAUUAGUAAGCACCAAGUGGAUAAUAUUAGAUGAAGUAAACAUAAAUAAAAAUCAUAUGAUCCUUGCUGAGUUGGACAGGAUCCUGCCAUGAGAAAAUUUACCUGCAUUAGUAUAGACCAAAGAGGUAAAAUUCGGCCAUGAUGCUAAUGAGUGGACCAACAAAUCAAUUACAAUACAAGAUGUAUGAAGUCAAAUAACCGGCAAGAGUAGGCUAAGAUAAUUGAAUCAGUCUCCAAGUUAUUCCUAAAAUGCAGAAGAUCGUAUUGUAGGCUGGAGUAAAGAAAGAUGGCAAUGUAAAAGUUUGAAUCAACCGAGGCUACAAAAAUAUGAUUGUCGGUUUGAUGGAUGGUGCAGAGGGACUAUGAUGAUGACCGUACACAGUGAAAGAUAACUGGCAUCAGUUAGUUAUCUAAACUACUAAAAGUGUUGGCUAGAGUUGGUGGCAACCACCAGAGUUGUAAAAGAUCCUUAGACAAUCCAGAUCAAUGUAUUUUAUCUCAUCUUAGUUCUCAAUUUACUAGUAGUUUUUACCUUAAGAGUAGUUGUAACUUAAAAUCUCUACUAUAGUAACUCAAUAAUAUAUCUCUAUUCCUAUCUAGAUCCAUCUUCUUUAAUUGAUGGUAUGAUGGUUGUAAAAGUUCUUAAAGUUUAAGGUACUUAAACCCACACUGCUCUCUAUCCUCUCUUCAAUCACCAUCUUUUCAAUUGAUCCGAUAUCGGUAACAUAUUGGUGCAUACAUCAUAUGCCUGCCACCUAACUUGUGUCAACAAAUUCUUUGGCAUGCUUGUUCUAGGAGAGGCUCCAUAGCAAACAACUACAUAUAAUAAUUUUGAUUCUUGACCUUUGAACCUAAUAGAACAAAUUUUGGUUAUCUAAUAAAAUAUCUUUAAUAUGAAACUUAUAUACUUGUCCACUUACAGCCAAUCUUAUUUUAUUUUUAUUUAUCUCUUGUUAUGAGUUCCAACACAAACACCAAAAUGAAAUACAUAACUCUACAUUAACUUUUAUACGUGAUAAAAGGCCUCUUAAACCAAACUUCAAACUCUUCCAUGAAUUCUAUUAGGAUUCUGCUUUGAUUCUAUAAUGUUUCUCAACCAAUAAAUAGCAUUUGAACACCUUUGCAUCAUAUAGUAAAAUGACUAGAAGUUCUUGAAUUUCAUUAUAUAUGAAAUAAUUUAAUUCACAGUCGAGUACUCUUAUUGUUGGAUUUACGAGAGGGAGCCAAUCUUUAUGCAUGUAAUACCCUGGCCAAAAGUGAACCAGGCAUGGUCCACUUGAAAGGCCUGGUGUUUUAUUUGGGGUGCAACCUGGAGUUUGGCCCAUGGACUAGUUUGAAAUGGGCCUUGUAUAGCCCAAAUCGGGGUGAAGACCCGUAUUUUAGUAUGGGGAGGAGGCAGUCUGCUCCUCUCCGAUUUCUGAUGGAGGCUAGGAAAGCCAGCUUCCACCAGCUAUAUAAGAACCCCACCACCCCUAGAGAGGCAUCUCGAGCUUCUCUCUCUUUCUCUCUUGGUUUUUGGUUUAAUCUCAAGAGUUUGGCUACCAUCUCCUACUAGCUAUUCCGUGAGACCCUGGAACUGGGCCCGGUCUACUUCACCGGCCGGUCCCAAGACUUGGCCUCACGUGAGGCAGCGGGAUGGAUUCUUUCCAUCCCGAAGAAGAAGGAAGCCUUGUUUUUAGGGCUUCUUCUCCUUCCCUUUGAGACCACCGGAAGAGGAGCCGCCAGACCUCCUUCCUUGGGUGUUCUUCUUACUCGUGCAGCCAUCCGAGAGAGAGAGAGAGAGAGAGAGAGAGAGAGAGAGAGGGAGGGAGCCGUUGAAGCCGGUCUUCUUUGAUCCGGGUGGUUCCAUUGCCGCCGGAGAGGAAGAGAGCCGCCGGAGAGGAAGAAAGCCGCCGGAUCUUCACCAGGGCUAAGGUUCUGCGAGGGAUUUGUGAGAUUAAUUGGAUCGCAUUGGAUAUUCCGAGAACUAACUUAUCGGAGAUUUAAAAUGGGAGAGCGACUUGAAGAACUGAAGCACAAGUUAUCUUAGAUUAGGCUUUAUUUAAAUUAAUGUUUUAUUUUUAUUGUUCCGCUGCAUAUUGAGAACUGUGAGACUUUAUAAUUUGAGUCAGUCAAUGGAGUAAGAUUGCAUUUAUUUCA